rnacentral:rRNA from 1 species
UACGUAGGUGGCAAGCGUUGUCCGGAUUUACUGGGCGUAAAGAGCGCGCAGGCGGUCGAUCAAGUCGCGUGUGAAAGCCCCCGGCUCAACUGGGGAGGGUCACGCGAUACUGAUCGACUCGAAGGCAGGAGAGGGUAGUGGAAUUCCCGGUGUAGUGGUGAAAUGCGUAGAUAUCUGGAGGAAUACCGGUGGCGAAGGCGGCAUCCUGGACCGACAUUGACGCUGAGGAGCGAAAGCCAGGGGAGCAAACGGG